rnacentral:rRNA from 1 species
GUCACCCUACGGGGGGCAGCAGUGGGGAAUAUUGGGCAAUGGGUGCAAGCCUGACCCAGCAACGCCGCGUGAAGGAAGAAGGCUUUCGGGUUGUAAACUUCUUUUCUCAGGGACGAAGAAAGUGACGGUACCUGAGGAAUAAGCCACGGCUAACUACGUGCCAGCAGCCGCGGUAAUACGUAGGUGGCAAGCGUUAUCCGGAUUUACUGGGUGUAAAGGGCGUGUAGGCGGGAGUGCAAGUCAGAUGUGAAAACCACGGGCUCAACCUGUGGCCUGCAUUUGAAACUGGACUUCUUGAGUACUGG